UACGUAGGUCCCGAGCGUUGUCCGGAUUUACUGGGUGUAAAGGGAGCGCAGACGGCAGUGCAAGUCUGGAGUGAAAGCCCGGGGCCCAACCCCGGAACUGCUCUGGAAACUGUGCGGCUAGAGUACUGGAGGGGCAGGCGGAAUUCCUAGUGUAGCGGUGAAAUGCGUAGAUAUUAGGAGGAACACCAGUGGCGAAGGCGGCCUGCUGGACAGUAACUGACGUUGAGGCUCGAAAGCGUGGGGAGCGAACAGG
rnacentral:rRNA from 1 species